CUAGCUGGAUUCAUUGAAACUUCAUUCUCUUUGUUGCUCAUUGUCACCUAAAAAUGCUAGCAUUAAUUAACUUCCUUAGAUGAACAAUAGAAACUUUAAGAAAAACUUAUCUAUUCUUAUUCAAUUAAACAUGAUUUAGCUAAACGAGAUCUAUCUACCUAUUACUGGACUUUAGGUCUCCCAAUGAUCAAACCUAUUGCUCUGAUACCAUAAAAU
rnacentral:lncRNA from 1 species